GGUGACCCAAACCCUCACCAGAGUAGCAGUUGGAGGGCAAGUCUGGUGCCAGCAGCCGCGGUAAUUCCAGCUCCAAUAGCGUAUAUUAAACUUGUUGCAGUUAAAAAGCUCGUAGUUGAAUUUUAGCGUGUUCGAGUUUGCCAUUCGUUUGGCUUUUUCGAGUUCGCUUUUGGGUUUUCCCUUUUUACUUUGAGAAAAUUAGAGUGUUUCAAGCAGACUUUUGUCUUGAAUACUUCAGCAUGGAAUAAUAGAGUAGGACUUUGGUUCUAUUUUGUUGGUUAUUGAACCUUAGUAAUGGUUAAUAGGAACGGUUGGGGGCAUUCGUAUUUAACUGUCAGAGGUGAAAUUCUUAGAUUUGUUAAAGACGAACUACUGCGAAAGCAUUUGCCAAGGACGUUUCCAUUAAUCAAGAACGAAAGUUAGGGGAUCGAAGACGAUCAGAUACCGUCGUAGUCCUAACCAUAAACCAUGCCGACUAGUGAUUGGAGGUCGUCGUUUUGCUGACCCCUUCAGGAACUUGAGAGAAAUCAAAGUCUUUGGGUUCUGGGG
rnacentral:rRNA from 1 species